rnacentral:lncRNA from 1 species
CAGGGAUCUUACAUAGCUUUCCCAGGAGCUAUGGCAUCAUUGGUAUUCAUGAGCAACCACUGUGACAGUUUAGUAAACAAACACAUUGAUAAAUCCAUCUUUCCUGUCAUAUGUGACAAAAAUUCUUCAGAGGCUUUAUUUAUGCAAUUUAGAUCUCCAGGCUUAAAGUAUGUGGUAAUUUUAUUUCACAAAAGCCCCAGGCAGCAAAGUAUUUAUUUUACACUCCUGGACCUCAUCAGGGAUAUGGCAUAACCUGUUCUUGUGUUUAUCUUUUUGCAAAUCAGCGACCUAAUAUGGAGAUGCCACCUGCUUCAUGGUGGGGAGGAAGGCUGGGAAAGCAGGAGGAGAAAGGUGGAGGAUUAAUUAGUUAAUAUCUAUGAAGUACUUUGCAGAUGGAGAGUGAUAUGCAAGUGUGAAUUUUAAUUAUGGUUCCCUGCCCUCCUUGGCAGAUACAAAUAGGAUAAUUUCUUGGAACAAGAAGCAGAGGUCUAACUUAAUCAUGUAGACACUUUGAUUUUGGAGAGUGAAAUUCUUUGUGGGUUUUGUGAUGAUGGAAAUAUCUAUCCCCUCACUCCGCCCUUCUAUGGAAGAGAUGAGGAAAGAUGUUGGGGACCCAUAAUUGUAUUAUUCAUGUCAGCAGAAGUGGACAGCACCAGGGAAGCUAUUUUAUUGUCCUCUUAUGAAAUCAUCCAGUUUAUGGCUGUCACUGGAUUCUGCUGCCAUCACACUGUUCUUUUCUCCUGGAUGCAUAGGUACGUUUUCCCUUUCAAAGAACAGUCCACCUAUGGAGAAGCAUCAGAACCUGAAAUUCACCCUUAGGUAUAUAACUAACAGAAAUACCUACAUAUUUCCACCAUACGUCUAUUCACUAGAAUGUUCAUGGCAUCAUUAUAAGAGCCUUACACUGGAAACUGUCCAAAUUCCCAUCAAGAGUUGGAAUGAUAAAUAAAUUGCAGUCUAUUCACAUAGCAGUGAGAAUGAAUGAUCUAUAACUCAAUUCAGUGAAAAACAUACCACUAACAUAAAAAAAAGGAAAGAAAUCAAUGCAAAAGAAUACAUACUGUAUGGUUCUAUUUAUGUAAAGAACAAAAAAGCAAAGAGAACUUUGCUGUUCCAUGCUGUUACUUAUUAGUCAAGAUAGUGAUUACCCUUGGGGGGAUAGGUAGUGAUUGGUAGGAAUCACAAAGGGGUGCUUCUGAGCUUCUGACUAUGUUCUGUUUCUGGAUCUGGGUGUUGUUGCACAGGGGUCUUCAUGUCACGAAAACUCAUUGAGCUGUAAGCUCAAGUACUUUUUAAUAACAAAUUUCAAUGAAAAAUUUUUAAAAGAAUAAUACUAAUUAAUACAUCAGUAUUAGGUCAUUUGGAUUUCAAGGUGACAAGUGUCCCUUAUUUCUGGUCUAAAGCUUGCUGAAUAUAGCCAAGCAUUUGCUAGAUGUGUCUGGCAAAAAUGAUAUAAACUGGGAGACUUUUUUGUGAAGUUAGAGGAGCAUUCCAAAAAACCCAAGUCAGAGGAUAAAUAACACGCCCCCACUUUUUCCACCCGUGAGUUAGCAAUCCAACGAUGUAAUUGAACAAGUCAUCCUCAGAUUUUUCCUUGGCAACUUACUGUCCACACAUGGUAGAUGGAGAGCCACCCCAGGUAAAAGGACUACAGAAUCUUUUUCCCACAUGGAGAAGACACUGAGAAUGACCCUUAGAGGUUAAAGUUGGCAACUGCAUAGCAAAACAUAAUGCAACUCUCACCUAAAUAUAUGGCAUUCAUUCUCAGAAGACAACUAGCAUUGGAAAACUUUGUCUCCAUGUAACUUACUUUCUGAUACAAGCCUCUCUCUGAAGUGUCACAUGCUAAUAAAACUGCAACAUGACUUACUAGCAGCCUUGAAGGGCUUGAGAGAAACACGUAGUGAGCUCAAUGUGAAUUUAAUUGAAGGGGGUAGGUGGGUGGUGCUGGGUUAUGAAUUCCUUGUAAAAGCUGAAGUCCAGUAAAUGAAUUGGUGUAUCUAAUUUGGUUGUUUUGCUAGUAUAUACAAUAUAAUUUCCAAACUCCAGCAGUUAAGAGCAAUAGGCAGAGUCAGUUUUUGUAAAUGAGAAAUACAAGAAUAUAUUCAGGUGUUGUUUUGUCACAUUUACUAAAUCAAAACUCCAUCCUGGGUAUUUAUCAAGUGAAGAGACCUGCCCUUGUAUAAUUAGUCACAUCUGAGCACACAUGUUAAUGUAUCGCUCAAUCGAUAUUUAAUUUUUUUUUAAUUUUAAUGGGUCUCUCUUUUUUUUUUCUUUUUAUGGCUGCAUCUGCGGCAUAUGGGAUUCUUCAAAUACUUGAAGUUUUCAGACUUCAGGUCCUGUUCUAGACUUGUGUGAUGCAGUAAUAAACAGAGCAGACUAAAAUCUCUGCCUUUUUGAAGCAUACAUUCCAAUCAGGUGAGAUAUACAACCUAAUAAACAAGCAGAUAGCAUGUUAGGAGGUGACAAAUUCUGCAGGAAGAUACACAGCAGGGAAAGGGGUCUAGAGAAUAGGAUUAUGGUGGGAAGUGGGGCAGGGUGCAAUUUUUAAUAGAUUGGUCCAGAUCUCAGGUCUCACUGAAAAGGUGGGAUUCAUCCUUAAUGGACCUUAAUGAGGUGAGACUCUCAUUUAGAUUGAUGGGGUAAAUCAGGCAGCAUCAGGCAAGACUAUCUGAAGAAAUGGUUUGAUCUUCUAUAUAAACAAGUAAUUGUUUAUAUCUUAAAAGUUAUAUACUGUAAUGCCAGGACGACAUGGGUUUGUGUGAUCUUUAAAGUAGGUGUUACCAAUUGCCCACCAUGACCAUAAAAAUGUCUCAAUAGAGCUUCUUGGUAACCAAGCAAAUUGACUUGCUUCUUGGGGUUAUCAAACUGAACCACCUACAUUUAAAGGACGUUGGCCAAAAAAUAAUACUCUCCUUUUCGGAGUAGUUGAUAAUUAUGCCAUUGUUUCCAAUAAUAGUCAGCGAGCAGGGCAAAUUGUCUUUUAGAUCUCUUCCAGUUCUGAACAAUCAGAUCAAAUCAUCUAUGAAGAAGAAAUUUCCCUUCUAUUCUCAGUGGCCUAAAUGGCAAUCAUCCACUAACAUUCACAUCAUUAACUUGUGAUUUUAAAAAUAAGGAGGGGUAUCCAACACUACUUUAAGGUCACAAUCCACCCUGUCCCUAUAUUACUGACCACACUACUUUGUCCUUCAUUUUGCCUGAUGCUUCAGUCUAAUGAGGCUGCUUCUAGUCAACUAUACUUUAAUAAUAAAAAAAGAGUUAAAAAAAGAAAAAAAAAAGGAAGUAAUAAUUUAGGGUACUACAGAAGUAAAAAAUAAAGAGGCUGCUUAUAUUUUUUUCAUAAUCUUACAGGUUUUCCCACUAUUCCUUUGUUCCAGCCAUCCCACAUGCCAGAGAGAUCCUCUUCUUUCCUAAGUACCAUCCUUAUUUUAAAGCUUGUGACAAUUUUCCUCUUUGUGAGGCUGUCUCUGAACUCUCACCCUCCCAGUCAUCCCUUUUCUUUGCCUCCUGAAGCAUUUCUAUAGUGUCUGCAUUUUUCCUUGGCACCAGACACAGACUGCCUUGUACAGUUAAUUAUGUUUUAUGUCUGUGUCCUAUUUCCCUGGUGAUACUAUAAGAUACUCAAGGGCUUUGUGUUUCUGGGUCUUCGCCUGGUUUCCUUCAUCUGUUAGGUACUUAAUAAAGGCUGGGUGUAACUGAUAGUAAUGAUAAUGGCAGUCGUGGGCAUAACCAGUUUUCAGGUGGGAAUCCUAGUCCUGGUCUCUGAACUGAAACACUGAGAGGUUCUAGUUGUCCAUUCUUGUCACCAAGGUCCCCCAUGCAAAGGCAAUGACAGUUACACUAUGACUGCAGCCUGGCUGGCAGCACUGACAAAAUAUCAUUGGUAUUAAGUCAGUGAGCAUUACCAGAGAUGUGAGUGUGAGAAAUGCGCUCCCUAAAUCAGAUAAAUUAAGUGUAGGAGAAGAAAAUGAGGGAAAAUAACAAAUACUCACUUAUGGUCAUGAAACUCACACAAGUGAAAGCACUAAGUACCACCAUGGGCGCCUACUGUGUGCCAGGUCCUGGACGAGGUAUUUCACACACAGUACCUCUAACCCUCACACCAGCCCCGCAAGGUAGGAUCCAUACUUCUGUUCAUAAGAGAGGAGGAAAAGUGCAGAGAGGUUAACUGACUGCACUCAAGAUCAUGCAGCCAGUAGGAGGCAUGUCAAGCUUUUCAUCUCAGGUUUGUGGUGCUCUCUUCCAUUUUGUUUUUGUUUGUCUGUCUGUUUUUUAAUUGUUAUUUCCCCAAUAUGAUUUUUUUUUCUACUGUACAGCAUGGUGACCCAGUUACACAUCAUUAAUAAGUCCUCAAAUAACAAAUGCUGGAGAAGGUGUGGAGAAAAGGGAACCCUCCUGCACUGUUGGCGGGAAUGGAAGCUGGUACAACCACUAUGGAGAACAGUAUGGAGGUACCUUAGAAAACUAUGCAUAGAACUACCCAGCAAUUCCACUCUUCAGCAUAUACCUGGACAAAAGCUUUCCUUUCUUCCGUUGCACAAAAUGAUGAAUCCAUGUAUCAUGAUCUUCUUGAUGAAGUCUUAUUCAUGGGCAAACUGAGGAGCACAGAGUUUUAUAACAUGCCCAAGUUCACACAGGAGAGAAACCUUGAUUCAAACUGAAUUCUGGUGAACUCCAAGGCCUUCCUUCUUUCCAUUGCCAAAAACUGAAGACAGAGGAAACUUAUGAAGAGAGAAGCAAUGUUGAUGGCCACCAAGUUCUUCUGUCUACUUCCCCUGAGCCUUCAUGCCAUAUAACUGUCUUAGAACUGAAGCCUUGCUCUCAGCCCUUUAUGGGAAUUUGCCAGACAUUCUGAGGAAAUGAUGUCUGACCUUGAGGAUGUAACUUCUUGUAUUUAAAAAUCAAAGAAAAUGCUCUAUAUAUCAAAACCUAAAUAAUGAUGGCAAAAGUCAAUAUCUUAUAUAAUGAAGGCAAAAAACAUUAUACACUAAAGCUAAAAUUUAGAAGUUAACAUCAAAUUCCUAUAAUAUUCUUUCAAAAAAGAUCCAUGGCUCUAGAAGAGACCAAAAGGUUUUUCAUUCUUAAAAUAAAAGCAAGACCAGGCACAGACACUUUAGAAACAAGUUUUUAUGACAAGAGCUAGCAAAAUGUACCUGUCCUAUGACCUAGAAUCUCUGCCCUCAGGAACUUAUCCUUUUUAAAAGUUUUAUUGAAGUAUAGUUAAUUUACAAGGCUGUGAUAAUUUCUGCUGUACAACAAAGUGACCAAUCAUACAUAUACAUAUAUCCAUUCUCUCUCAGAUUCUGGGAUUGCAUAAGCUCACUGAAGUAUAUGGAAUGAUUGGCCAACGGGGAUCUGCUGUAUAGAACAGAGAACUCUAACCAGUAUUCUACGAUAAUCUAUGCGCGAAAAGAAUCUGAAUCAGGACCUUAUCCUUUGGAGCAAUGUGACAAGUAUACACAGCUAUCUGUAUAUAUUCCAUAUGGUGGUGUUUGGCUACAAAAAAGCUGGAAACAAUAUAAAACCUGUAAUAGAGGAUAAAUUAAAUAAAUUAGGAACUUACAUACAGUGGAAUAAUUUGCAGUAGUUAAAACAAAGGCGGUAG